UACACACCGCCCGUCACACCAUGGGAGUUGGUUCUACCUGAAGACGGUGCGCUAACCACAAGGAGGCAGCCGGCCACGGUAGGGUCAGCGACUGGGGUG
rnacentral:rRNA from 1 species